UACGGAGGGUGCGAGCGUUGUCCGGAAUCAUUGGGCGUAAAGGGCGCGUAGGUGGCCCGGUCAGCGUGCGGUGAAAGCUCGGGGCUCAACCCCGAGUCGGCCGUGCGAACUGCUGGGCUUGAGCACUGUAGAGGCAGGCGGAAUUCCGGGUGUAGCGGUGGAAUGCGUAGAUAUCGGAAGGAACGCCGGUGGCGAAAGCGGCGA
rnacentral:rRNA from 1 species